AAAGGAAUAGACGGGGGCCCGCACAAGCAGUGGAGUAUGUGGUUUAAUUCGAAGCAACGCGAAGAACCUUACCAGGGCUUGACAUCCCCUGAAUAUCUUAGAGAUAAGAGAAGCCCUACGGGGCAGGGAGACAGGUGGUGCAUGGUUGUCGUCAGCUCGUGUCGUGAGAUGUUGGGUUAAGUCCCGCAACGAGCGCAACCCCUGCCGUCAGUUGCCAUCAUUAAGUUGGGAACUCUGGCGGGACUGCCGGUGACAAAUCGGAGGAAGGUGGGGACGACGUCAAAUCAUCAUGCCCCUUACGUCCUGGGCUACACACGUACUACAAUGGCCACAACAGAGGGCAGCGAAGGAGUAAUCUGUAGCGAAUCCCCAAAAGUGGUCCCAGUUCGGAUUGUGGGCUGCAACUCGCCCACAUGAAGUCGGAAUUGCUAGUAAUGGCAGGUCAGCAUACUGCCGUGAAUACGUUCCCGGGCCUUGUACACACCGCCCGU
rnacentral:rRNA from 1 species